GCUCUGAGCUGAUGGUGAAGCCAGCAAGGAGCCUCUAAGGACUAGUGAGUGGACCAAUUUCUUUGUCGUCUCCACUGCCUCUCAUAACUGACUGCGAAGCAACAUCACCUACUGUCAGUUCACUUGAAGACUGUGUCUCUGUUCUCAAGUAUUCACUGUUAUCAUCAUGUCGAUGAAAAAUUGCCAUUGCCAAAUGGGAGGUUUUGCUUUGAGCACAGUGGCCUGGCUACUUUGCUGCAUAUCCAUAGGCCUCCCUCAGUGGCAAGUGUGGCACUAUGAAGAUCCUGUGAUCCUCAAGCCUACAGUGGCUUUUGUGGGUGUAUGGAGAGCCUGUGUUUUCCACACUGACAGCAACUCCAGCAACAACAGAGUAUGUCACCAAUACAACUACCGAGACUCCUUCAUUCCUUUCUAUAUUCGAGUAAACCAGCACUUGCUGCUGGUUUCUAGCUUUCUGGGGCUCUUUGGGAAAAUCACCACCAUUAUUGCUCUUUCAAAUGUGGGUAUGGGAAGAGUACGGAGGAAUGCCACCAGAAAUCCAUUCAGCCUUCCAGGGAUUCUGAAUACCAUCGUUAGCAGCUUUCUUUACUUUGCUGUUUUGUUAAAUUACAUAGCCAUCUUACGCAAAUGGGGAGUUGCCUUCCCACCAUCUUUCCAUAUGCCUUCCCAUCCAGACACUCAGAAGAUGGGCAGCGCCAUGGCUUUGGCAAUUAUAGCUGCAGUUUUCUUUCUACUAAGUGGCAUAAUUUGCCUUUCUUCAAAUUUAUCCAUAGGCAAGAAGCCCCAUCCCAAAAUUUAAAAGUAAAUUGCUACCUUACAUAGCCUUGAAACGCCAGCAAAGAGAAUGAAUAUUCUUCAUGUGUCAACAUAAAUUUUCAAAGAACUUGAAAGAAUGCCAAUUGUGGCCUGUGACAAAAGAUAGUCCAGUUGACUUUCUCUUAUCUAUUUGGCUUCUUUUGUGUUGCCUUAAUUCAUUAUUUGGACUGUGGGCUUUUAUUAAAUAAAAUCUUAUUUUAUGGGUAGUAUUGAAUUUGUGUUUUACUUCCUGUCAACAAAUAUAAAUAAUCAAUAAAUCAAAUACAUAUUGAA